AUUGAACGCUGGCGGCAUGCCUUACACAUGCAAGUCGAACGGUAACAGGUCUCGGAUGCUGACGAGUGGCGAACGGGUGAGUAAUACAUCGGAACGUGCCCUUUGGUACGGAAUAGCCCCGGGAAACUGGGAGUAAUACCGUAUAAGCUCUUCGGAGGAAAGAUUUAUCGCCAAAGGAUCGGCCCGCGUUGGAUUAGGUAGUUGGUGGGGUAAUGGCCUACCAAGCCGACGAUCCAUAGCUGGUUUGAGAGGAUGAUCAGCCACACUGGGACUGAGACACGGCCCAGACUCCUACGGGAGGCAGCAGUGGGGAAUAUUGGGCAAUGGAGGAAACUCUGACCCAGCGACGCCGCGUGCGGGAUGAAGGCCUUCGGGUUGUAAACCGCUUUCAGCAGGGAAGAAGCGAAAGUGACGGUACCUGCAGAAGAAGCACCGGCUAACUAUGUG
rnacentral:rRNA from 1 species